rnacentral:lncRNA from 1 species
CUACUCAUCGUUAUUGAUUUCUGACCUCUGUGGCAGCCGAAUCCCUCGGCGUGGUGGACAUCAGGUAAUAUGGUGUGAGUUACUGGACUAGAGAUCAUGGGAAAAGGAAUAGUCUAGUAAAGCUGAAAUAUCACUUAUGAAGAAGGAAGAGUUGAUAUAUCCUUUGUGCGUAGCAGUAUCUGUAUUAACUGUGUCAAGUAAGCAACUGAAGUAGUCUUAGCACUCUUCUCAUGUAUGGUUAAAAACGAUUGGUGUGAAAUAUUGUUCAGUUUGUAUUAAAUGUAUACUAAUAAUUGGUGGAUUGGAUUUGUGGUUAGCUUUCUUCAGUGGUGGUUUAUCUGUAAUAACUACAGACACCCGUUGUUAAUAUUUCACGUUGGAAUGAUGAUAUACUAUAGAUGUAACAUAUAUUGUUCUAUUUCCCAUUACGUUGCAAGAUAUACAGAAUGUAUACAUAUAUAAAUGAUAUUGUCUCUCCUGUCUGACACAUUAGUUUCUACUCCUACCAGACUUUCGGUACUAAGGAUAGUUUCACAUUUAUUCAGCAUUUUCUUAUUAGAACUAUUAACAAUAAAAAAAUAAAGAUCAUCAGGAGUAGCCAUGUUCCCUGAACGCAGCCUCUCAAACCAAAAUUGCAGCAGCGUCUGGUAUUGAUUGAGAUUUGAAUGAAACUUCAUGCGACUGAUCAGUACCAAGCCAAGUUGCACAUAGAUCUAGUUUUGUUGGUGUUAUUGCUUUUAGUUUGAUUAUUUUUGACGGAAUAAUGGGUGUGCAAAGUAUCAAGAUUUUAAAUAUUAUCUUGAGUGUUUAUCUAAAUUAUCUGGACUACGCUGAAAGUUACGGUGUUCCGUUAGGGCCACCUUCCCAAGAAAGAAUUCGAAAGAACGAUACUAACUACGAGGUUGAAAGUCGAAAUAACGAAACUACGAUUUUGAAAAGUCAAAAUUUUUUCGCACUAUAGUCUUUUCACCAUCGUUGUGUCGCUGUUUCGACUUUUCACCAUCGUACUGUAGUAAGUGGGUACCCCACCCAUCUUUUUUGCAUAGUGCUGUAUGUAUUUCCACUGCUGUACGUUUUCCAUGCAUUGCUAUUUAUACAAAACAUAUUGCAUUUUAAAUGUUUCGUUACCUUUUAUGUCUCUGUUAAGUUAAAAUCAUUUUUGGCAUUGCUUAAUAGUUAAUUACUGUUAAUCAUAUCAGUCUUAAACCACUUCCUUGUUUUUUCUAGCGGACAACUUGUUCCGGUUCUCGAUUUAUCUCGUAUGACGUCACGCCGUUUAAGCAAGUGCGCGAGGCACUGUUUUUAUAUUACGUUUGCUGGGCGCUAAAAUUUGAAUUGUAGUAAAUUGUUAUUUAGGCUUUUCUAGUCGUUACUUUAAGAUUUUCUUGAUAGGGAUGAUAUGUAGUUUUUUAUUAUAAUGUCCGUGUGCCGUCCUGUAAUAUAAUACUUUGUUGUAUCGUUGAUAUGACCUGGUGAGAAGAUUCCAACAGUGGAGGGUCUCCUUUAGGCGCCCCUUCCAACUUGGUUGGAACUUCCAACUAGCGUCUGAGUACUGUGGGAUUUGUUGGAAUUGUUGACAUAUAAAAGGCCUUGACCGACCGCUAUUCGGCACUUCCACCUUGUUUACAAAAUGUUGCUAGACGUCAUUCUGUUCCAAAUAAUUUUCAUAUUUAUUUAAUUAUUAAAUUACUUAUAAACUCAGGAAGCCUUCAGUAAAGAUCAUGUGACGGUGUGCUACACCUUAAAGAUGCUGCGAAAGGGGUACGUAGUAGCGAGGAAUUUAGAGACACUAAAGACACUCUGAAUAAUACGCUGAUAAAAAUCAAAACAGAAAAAGAAAAAAGAUAAAACAAUCUAUCACGUUUAAACCAGAAGAAAGAUACAAUUCUUCGAGACAUUGAUGAACAUCAAGAAGACAACAUCAAGAGAAUUAAAGAGCUUGCAGAAGCUUCUCGAAAACAAGUGAUAUCUGAACAUGCUGAGCUUGUGAAUGCCGCUCAAUCAGAUAACCAGACACUUGAAACUGUUCUGUCAGUGUUGGAAGAGAGUUCAAAGAAUGUCAAUGCUCCCGAUCUGAAUGAAGCGCAAAUCUUCACAUUUGUUAAAAAUGGUAAACAGGCCGUAAAAAUGUACAGACCAUUGUAGAUGAGCUGUCCUUCAGUUUGGAUCGAGAAAGAUCUUGCAUAUUGUUUUGAUAAUGAGCUUUCUGAUUCGAUUUCGACACCUAAAUCAUUUGGUCACUUUCAGAAGAAUGCCGACAACAAGCCAUAUCUCGCAACAAUUUACAAAAAAGUUGAUGUUAAAAUGGAAAAUGACAGCUCCGCUUGUUGUAUUACCAGUGCAUGCUUAUUGAAUGAUGGAACAUUGUUUGUCAGCGACUACGAAAAUAAGAACUUGAAGCGACUUGAUAAAACUUAUAAAGUAAUAGAAAGCAUAAGUCUCAAUGGACAUCCAAUUGCGGUAUGUAUUACCGGACAUCAAGAGUUAGCAGUUGGACUUCGAGAAGAAAUGAAAGUACAAUUUUUGCAUCAUGGUGAUAUAUUGUCACGCGGAACGUCAUUUAGUACAGACCUAAAAUGCACAGGACUUUGCUUUGAUUAAAAAAAGACACACUUUAUGUUUCCUGCGGUGCUAGAUGGUUAGGUGAUACACAGGCAAAGGUGAAUGUUUAUAAAAGGGACAGAACUCUGCUAAGAACCUUUGAAAAUGAUAAAGCAGGUAUUCCGUUGUUUUCCUCGUCAGGUAAUAUCGCUAUGGCAACAUCUACUAGCGAACUUUACAUUGCAGGACGAGAGUGUGGACUUAUUGCUGUAGAUGGAAGUUGAAGAAAGCUUUGGACAUAUUCAGACCCGAAACUGAACGAUCCCUGAGGUAUUUGUAUUUUACCCGGAAAGCAGCUACUUGUGACUGGCUUUAGUUCAGGAACCAUUAUGCAAGUAGGAAUGGAUGGAAGGGAAGUUUGUGAGCUAAUUGGGAAAUCUGAAUGACUAGUUUACCCUUACGCUGUCGCUUUCUAGAAUAAUUGUCGGAGAUCAAUCAAAUGAGAUCAGAGUAUACAAUUUAUCUAAGAAAUGAAUGUAAUAAAUAAAAAAGAAGAGUAAGUCCAUGUAAAUUAUUAAACCAUAUCUUAUCGAGUUGAAA